rnacentral:rRNA from 1 species
UACGUAGGGGGCUAGCGUUGUCCGGAAUCAUUGGGCGUAAAGAGCGUGUAGGCGGCCCGGUAAGUCCGCUGUGAAAGUCGGGGGCUCAACCCUCGAAUGCCGGUGGAUACUGUCGGGCUAGAGUGCGGAAGAGGCGAGUGGAAUUCCUGGUGUAGCAGUGAAAUGCGCAGAUAUCAGGAGGAACACCGAUUGCGAAGGCAGCUCGCUGGGACGUCACUGACGCUGGAGACGCGAAAGCGUGGGGAGCAAACAGG